AACGAACGCUGGCGGCAUGCCUAACACAUGCAAGUCGAACGAGACCUUCGGGUCUAGUGGCGCACGGGUGCGUAACGCGUGGGAACCUGCCCUUAGGUUCGGAAUAACUCCCCGAAAGGGGUGCUAAUACCGGAUAAUGUCUUCGGACCAAAGAUUUAUCGCCUUUGGAUGGGCCCGCGUUGGAUUAGCUAGUUGGUAGGGUAAAAGCCUACCAAGGCGACGAUCCAUAGCUGGUCUGAGAGGAUGAUCAGCCACACUGGGACUGAGACACGGCCCAGACUCCUACGGGAGGCAGCAGUGGGGAAUAUUGGACAAUGGGCGAAAGCCUGAUCCAGCAAUGCCGCGGGAGUGAUGAAGGCUUAGGGUUGUAAAGCUCUUUUACCCGGGAUGAUAAUGACAGUACCGGGAGAAUAAGCUCCGGCUAACUCCGUG
rnacentral:rRNA from 1 species